rnacentral:lncRNA from 1 species
AGUAGUCCAGUGGGAUGACAUCUGGAGGGGCUAUGCUUUAGAUUAUUUAUAGAUGUGGGCAAUAAGAGCUACAUUUAUGUUGUCAGUGCUGUUUGCCCUCGUUUAAUUUCUCAAAUGACCUAAUUAUAUGUGUUCUCAAUAUGUCUUGGGAGGAAAAUAAUUGCUGAUACUGUCAAAGGCAAAAUGCUGAAUAUGUUUCAGUGCUUCUCACAUUCCAUGGCCUGAUUAUGGGCAUCAUUAAAUUACACGUUACCAUUCUUCCGGAACAUCGCAUUGAACAUGUCCUAAUGUUUCACAAUGAGAAGUGAAGCACUUCCUCUUACUUAAAAAGAAAAAUAUUUGAUUUUUACAGGAUGCCUGACACUAAUGCUUACUAUUCUGCUAUCUAUGAUGUCUUCACUUAUGGAUAUAUUUAUUAACAAGUACUUAUUAGCUAUUUAACAUUUCCUCUACUGAGUGUUAUUAAUUACAGAUGCUGUAUUAGUUUCCUAAGGCUGCUGUAACAAAUUACCACAAACGUGGUGACUUAAAACAACAGAAAUUUAUUCUCUCACGGUUCUGGAGGCCAGAAGUUCAAAAUACAGCUGGGACCAAAGGCAUCUCUAAGGAAGGAUACAGUCCUUGCCUCUUCCAGGGUUCUGUGCCUCCUGUUGGAAUGAGCUCACUAACCAGUGGAAACAAACUGUUUAUCCUUCUAUGAUGUUGCAACUGCCUGGGCUUUCUAAUGCGUCUUCAGAUUUCGGUUUGUACUCAGAACAAGUGAGAAAAGUUUUACAGCAACUCCACGAAACAAAGCAGACAGGCUCUCCUGAAGCCAAGGAGUUAUGAAAAAGGCAGGCAUCGCGCAUUGAAUCAAGUAUGCCAUUACCCUCACUCCCAUGAACCUGUCUUUCAGCACAAUCCAUGACAGCAAGAAGACAAAGGCUUUGUUACAACAGAACAGAGCGGAGACAUCCGUGGCCGUCAGCUUCUUUA